rnacentral:rRNA from 1 species
UACGUAGGGUGCAAGCGUUAAUCGGAAUUACUGGGCGUAAAGAGCGCGCAGGCGGUCGUUCAAGUCGCGUGUGAAAGCCCCCGGCUCAACUGGGGAGGGUCACGCGAUACUGAUCGACUCGAAGGCAGGAGAGGGUAGUGGAAUUCCAGGUGUAGCGGUGAAAUGCGUAGAUAAUCGGGAGGAACACCAAUUGCGAAGGCAGCUUGCUGGGACGAUACUGACGCUGAGGCGCGAAAGCGUGGGGAGCAAACAGG